AGUUGUAGAACUCCGUUUAUAGUGAUUUCUGUCGGAAAAUCACAAAAAUUAUUAUGGUCAUAACUUGGUCGUUUUAACUCGGAAUUAGCUCAUUUUUGGACACGAGCUACAUAUUACCAUAUAUUUUCAUUUCCCAAAAGCCUGGAAUUUUUCUCAUUAACUAAAUGUCCGAAACAGCCCCUGGAAAAUUUUGGCCAGAAACUUUUUGCACUUUGGCAGUUUUGGAGUCCUUCACCAAAACUUAAAUAAAACGAAAUCUGUAACUCCGAUUAAUGAUCCGUCAAUUUUGUUGGAUUCGUAUCUUUCCGAACUAUAGUUUUCAUAUAUCACAAUCCAUAUUUGGAUAUGUUUAGCUCCCGGAAUUUAGCCCGGAAGUGGCUGCUCCAAAACUGUCCUUUUCACAGUUUUCUUAACUUUGUGUAGUUUUGUAAAAAAUCCCAUAACUUGCUCCUCCGAUAUCGGAUUUAGUCCGUUUCGGAGUCUAUGGAAAGCUUAUUGAGUGUACUAUAACAU
rnacentral:lncRNA from 1 species